GCAAGGACUGCCCACACAGCCAGUGGCGCAGCCUCAGGGUCCAUCCUCCUGCUCGGCUGAGCUUUUAAAGGAGCCCAGGGUGACUCUGAGUUCUAAACCUUCUAAAACCUUGUCAGGCAGAAGCAACACCACCUCCGUCCCUGCCUAAUGCUUUUCAAGCUGCCAUGCAUUAGGCAGCUAUCCCAGCUUCAUCUUGUGUUCCUAUCCUCCCGGAUCCUUUGACUUCACGCUUCCCUAGAAAUCAGUAUUGCUGAAUCCCAUGACACGAACAUCAGCUGAACUGGAGAGCCUGGC